rnacentral:piRNA from 1 species
UGAUAGUAUCAGAAUAACAGUCCAUGCUCU